UGAGUAGCACAGAUGAUUGCGGCUGCAAUUGCCGAAAGGCAGCAGGUGAGGAAAGUCCGGGCUUCACAGGGCAGGAUGCCGGAUAACGUCCGGUGGAGGUGACUCCAAGGCUAGUGCAACAGAAAUAAACCGCCAGCAUAUGCUGGUAAGGGUGGAAAGGCAGUGUAAGGGACUACCGCGCGGCUGGUAACAGAAGCGGCAGAUGUAAACCCCAUCCGAAGCAAGACCGAAUAAAAGCGAUACGGCGGCCCGUCGUGCUUUAGGUAGGUUGCUUGAGCCUGCUGGUAACAGCAGGACUAGAUAGAUAAUCAUCUGAUACAUAACCCGGCUUAUAGUGCUGCUCAGUUG
rfam:Eubacterium sp. CAG:38 genomic scaffold, scf81